AACGCAUAUUGCGCUCUUAACCUCGCGUUAAGAGCAUGCCUCUUUCAGUGUCGGUUUAUACCAUAUUCAUUGCCCUUUUUUUUAAUUAAAAAGGUAAGCAAUGGACGAUCUGAGGUGUUUUGCUUCAUUCUGCAAGCAAAUCCCUUGAAGUUGACGAGUGGUGAUAAAUGGCAACAUUUGUCGCUUUCUCAAACUGCGAUACGAGUAUUGUGCUCGGUUAUUCGCCAAUGUGAUAGUUCGUCCCUCGGGUCGAUUUCUCCAUUGGUUUGAGUAUAAGAGAAUCAAACGCAAUGCAAGUGGAAGGUUUGUAAAAGUCAUACGCUCUGGGCGUCGAUCGCUUCGGCCGAUUCGACACUAUAACCACAUCAUCUGACCUGAAAUGAAGCAAGAUUACCCGCUGAACUUAA
rnacentral:misc_RNA from 1 species